CAGUGAUUUUAUUAUGAAAGUUUCAACAAUCUCAAAAACCAAGGUAUUGUAUUUAAAUGGUAAAUAUACAUUCACUGAUGUUCCUUAAUUAACCUUUGAAACAUUAUGCGUAUGAUUAUAAUACUAUUUUUCUUACUAAGUUUCAUGAAACUCACCGAAAUCCAUUUCCUCCCACAUGAUGUUGAAGAAGAGGACUUGUCUCUUGAUCUAUCCCUUGGGGCCUGUUUGGAUCCAUUUGUGGAUCCAUAGUUGGUUGAGUGGGAAUGUGCACUUCACUAUGAAAGAUCAGUAAU
rnacentral:lncRNA from 1 species